CCCGAGUUGUAAUCUAGAGAAGUGUUAUCCGCGCUGGACCAUGUACAAGUCUCCUGGAAUGGAGCGUCAUAGAGGGUGAGAAUCCCGUCUUUGACAUGGACUACCAGGGCUUUGUGAUACACUCUCAAAGAGUCGAGUUGUUUGGGAAUGCAGCUCUAAAUGGGUGGUAAAUUCCAUCUAAAGCUAAAUAUUGGCGAGAGACCGAUAGUGAACAAGUACCGUGAGGGAAAGAUGAAAAGAACUUUGGAAAGAGAGUUAAACAGUACGUGAAAUUGUUGAAAGGGAAACGCUUGAAGUCAGUCGCGUUGGCCAAUCAAUCUUGCUUUCGUGCUUGGUGUAAYUUCUGGUUGAUGGGUCAGCAUCAGUUUUAACCAGUAGAAAAAAGUUAGGGAAAUGUGGCAUCUUCAGAUGUGUUAUAGUCCUUGAUUGUAUAUAUUGGUUGGGAUUGAGGUACUCAGCACGCCGCAAGGUCGGGUUUUUUUUAACCACGUUCGUGCUUAGGAUGCUGGCAUUAAUGGCUUUAAUCGACCCGUCUUGAAACACGGACCAAGGAGUCUAACAUACCUGCGAGUGUUUGGGUGGAAAACCCAAGUGCGUAAUGAAAGUGAAAGUUGGGAUCCUUGUCAUGGGGAGCACCGACGCCUGGACCAGACCUUCUGUGAUGGAUCCACGGUAGAGCAUGUAUGUUGGGACCCGAAAGAUGGUGAACUAUGCCUGAAUAGGGUGAAGCCAGAGGAAACUCUGGUGGAGGCUCGUAGCGAUUUCUGACGUGCAAAUCGAUCGUCGAUUGG
rnacentral:rRNA from 1 species